UGAACGCUGGCGGUAUGCCUUACACAUGCAAGUCGUACGAGAGUUUUUAACUCAAGUGGCGGACGGGUGAGUAACACGUAAGAAUUUGCCUUUAGGAGGGGGACAACAGACAGAAAUGACUGCUAAUACCCCAUAUGCUUUCGAGUGAAAUGGAUUUUUCCGCCUAGAGAGAAGCUUGCGGCUGAUUAGCUUGUUGGUGAGGUAAUGGCUCACCAAGGCGACGAUCAGUAUCUGGUUUGAGAGGAUGAUCAGACACACUGGAACUGAGACACGGUCCAGACUCCUACGGGAGGCAGCAGUGGGGAAUUUUCCGCAAUGGGCGAAAGCCUGACGGAGCAAUACCGCGUGAGGGAUGACGGCCUAUGGGUUGUAAACCUCUUUUUUCAGGGAGGAAUCAAUGACGUGUACCUGAAGAAUAAGCAUCGGCUAACUCC
rnacentral:rRNA from 1 species